rnacentral:rRNA from 1 species
UACAGAGGGUGCAAGCGUUGUUCGGAAUUAUUGGGCGUAAAGGGUGCGUAGGCGGUGCGGUAAGUCUGUAGUGAAAUCUCUGGGCUCAACUCAGAGUCUGCUAUAGAAACUGCCGUGCUUGAGUGUGGGGGAGGUGAGUGGAAUUCCCGGUGUAGCGGUGAAAUGCGUAGAUAUCGGUAGGAACACCAGUGGCGAGGCGGUCUCCUGGGGCAUUCUUGACGCUGAGGCGCGAAAGCUGGGGGAGCGAACGGG